rnacentral:rRNA from 1 species
AUACGGAGGAUCCGAGCGUUAUCCGGAUUUAUUGGGUUUAAAGGGUGCGCAGGCGGCCAUUUAAGUCAGCGGUUAAAUCGUGGGGCUCAACCCCAUUCUGCCGUUGAUCUUGGGUGGCUUGAUUGCGGUCGAGGCUGGCGGGAUUCGUUGUGUAGAGGUGAAAUGCAUAGAUAUGACGAAGAACACCGAUUGCGUAGGCAGCUGACCAGACCGCAAAUGACGCUCAUGCACGAAAGUGCGGGGAUCGAACAGGAUUAGAUUCCCUGGUAGUCCGCACAGUAAACGAUGAAUACUUGUUUUCGGCGAUAUAAUGUCGGAGGCAAAGCGAAAGCGAUAAGUAUUCCACCUGGGGAGUACGCCGGCAACGGUGAAACUCAAAGGAAUUGGCGGGG